AGAGUUUGAUCCUGGCUCAGAACGAACGCUGGCGGCAUGCCUAACACAUGCAAGUCGAACGAGGGCUUCGGCCCUAGUGGCGCACGGGUGAGUAACGCGUGGGAACCUGCCCUGUGGUACGGAAUAACUCCGGGAAACUGGAGCUAAUACCGUAUGCGUCCUUUGGGACAAAGAUUUAUCGCCAUGGGAUGGGCCCGCGUAGGGAUUAGCUUGUUGGUGGGGUAACGGCCUACCAAGGCUUCGAUCCUUAGCUGGUCUGAGAGGAUGAUCAGCCACACUGGGACUGAGACACGGCCCAGACUCCUACGGGAGGCAGCAGUGGGGAAUAUUGGACAAUGGGCGCAAGCCUGAUCCAGCAAUGCCGCGUGAGUGAUGAAGGCCUUCGGGUUGUAAAGCUCUUUCGCACGCGACGAUGAUGACGGUAGCGUGAGAAGAAGCCCCGGCUAACUUCGUGCCAGCAGCCGCGGUAAUACGAAGGGGGCUAGCGUUGUUCGGAAUUACUGGGCGUAAAGGGCGCGUAGGCGGUACUUCAAGUCAGGCGUGAAAGCCCCGGGCUCAACCUGGGAACCGCGCUUGAGACUGGGGAACUAGAGUUCGGGAGAGGAUGGUGGAAUUCCCAGUGUAGAGGUGAAAUUCGUAGAUAUUGGGAAGAACACCGAUGGCGAAGGCAGCCAUCUGGACCGACACUGACGCUGAGGCGCGAAAGCGUGGGGAGCAAACAGGAUUAGAUACCCUAGUAGUCC
rnacentral:rRNA from 1 species